rnacentral:rRNA from 1 species
UACGGGGGGGGCAAGCGUUGUUCGGAAUUACUGGGCGUAAAGAGUGUGUAGGCGGUGCUCUAAGUUUGGUGUGAAAUCUCCCGGCUCAACUGGGAGGGUGCAUCGAAAACUGGAGUGCUCGAGGGUGGGAGAGGUAAGCGGAAUUCCUGGUGUAGCGGUGAAAUGCGUAGAUAUCAGGAGGAACACCUGUGGUGUAGACAGCUUACUGGACCACUUCUGACGCUCAUGCACGAAAGCGUGGGGAGCAAACAGG